UCUUUCUUUUCUUUUGCUUCUACUUUAUGUGCCUAGGGUUGCUUCUAUUUUGAAAAACAGUUCUCUCUCUUCCUCUACCUCUCUCUUCCUCUUCCUCUUUCUUUUGUCUCUCUUUCUCUGAUAUCGAUCUUCUUCUGAUUUCUGUGCAGAUGAAUAUGAUGUUGGUGACGACGAUGAACACGUUUGCUGAUGAUAUCGUGAUGUUGAUUUUGAACUGUUGAUGGUUGUUGAUGAUGAUGUUGGUGACGCUCAAAGUCACAGCAAAUCGGUGAGAUCUUUCUUUGUUUUUAGUGUUUUGAGUUCUCUAAUCUCUCUUCUUCUCUUAAUAUUUUCUGAAGGGUUUGUGUAAAAAAUAGGAAGAUGAUGAUAAAAUAGGGUUUCAUGAAAUGUUAGUGUUGUAUCUCAUUUACUUAAUAUGAAAUGCGUUCUUUUUCUUUCUUCUUAUUGUUUUUGGAAAAUUUGUAUACAUGAGGAUGAUGAUGAUGGAAUUUUAGGGUUUUAGUUUUGUAUUCUGCUGCAGUGAAAAAAUGUGAAUCAGAUUCUCUUUACUGUGAACCAAAGUUUAUUUGUGAUUUGUAGUAAAGAUUAAGCUCAUGAUUUCAAUCAUUCCCCUUAAAAAUUCUGAUUCCUUCACAUAAACCCUAAUGAUGAAAUCUGACAGUAUGUUCAGUGUUCCCGAAAAUGAGAGUCUCUGUCAUGGUACCCGAUAUUGUUUCGUUCAUCAGUAUUAUAUCAGCUUGUGCAAAUGUUGCUUCUAAAAAGCAAGGUAAGGACAUUCAUGGACAUCUGGUAAGAAAGCUUUUCGAUACUUUUUUUUGCAGCAAAUUCCCUUUUUAAUUUUUGCUCAAGGCCUCAUUCCUCAUAUUCUCCGUUUGUAAGCGCUCUUUCUCACACUUUCUACAACCUCCACAAUAUUCUACCGCUGCAUUCUUACUGUGUGGACGUUGAUGUGGUGUUUCAGAUAUGGAUUAACUGCCACUGCUCGUGAUUUUGAAAUCUAUGAUCCCGAUGCUUCCUUUAAGGAUCCUCUUAUGCGUGCACACGGGGUGAAGUAGAUCAAAUCCGCAUUCUAUUCUCUUCCUAAGUUGCACAUGGCGUUCAUUUUACAGGGAGAUGUUUGUAUGAAUUUGCGCACUGUUGUUCAGAAAAAUGAGUUGCAGUUGCAGAAUCAAAAACAUACGGGUGCUGGAACAAGUCUACCGCGUGACAGUUUCGAACAAGAUGUGUUAAGUGUUAUUGUGCCUAUUUUCGUCGAAAGUGGAAUUAUACUGCUUUUCUCUUUAAGUAAUUGCCUGUCAUUUUCUGAAUUAAAACUAAACCAGUAAAGAACAGCGUUGAUGCAGUUUUGCGGUUGUCGCCGAAAGUGUGUGCAUUUUAAUGCUGUCAAGUAUACUUAGAUUCAUAAACUGAACCAUUAGAACAUUCAAUUGUGUUUUGUUUAUCACAUUAAUUAAUUGAUUUUCGUUGUUCAUGCAUAGCAAAGAUCAUUAAGCUAUGAAGGGUUUUGGAUAAUGCAACGAUUGGAGUUAUUAUGCAUCAUUUUUGAAGUCCAGCGAAAGUAUGUUGUAUUUAGGUAUUGUUUGUGUUGUAUUUAUUGUUGUUUAAAUGGUGUUGGUGAAAAGGAUCAUGAACAUGAAAUUAAGAAAGAAUUGGGUGAUUCAAUUGAAGGUGCUGAGAGGAAAAAAAGUGGUAGAACAUUGAAAAAGAUGCUUUUUUCACUAUCUUAUGCUUUUAUAGUUGUUGUUUUGGGAGUGAUUUUGGGUUUCAUAAGAAGGUCUAAUGAUUUUGGGUUUCAUAAGGAUUUUGUGAUAGCAGUUUGUAACCUAUCUUCUGAUUUAUUUCCCACCAAGGAUUUUUCAGUGACAGUUGGGUUGAUGAAUCUUCUGAGUGGUUGGUUUGGCGCUAUGCCAUGUUGUCAUGGUGCUGGUGGAUUAGCGGGACAGUAUAAAUUUGGUGGGAGGAGUGGAGGGUGUGUGGCAAUUCUGAGUGCCGCGAAGUUGGUUUUGGGUUUUUGGUUGGGAAGUUCGUUGGCACAUUUCUUCAAACAGUUUUCGGUGGGGAUUUUAGGAGUGUUGUUGCUGUUUGCUGGGAUUGAAUUGGCUAUGCCUAUGAAACUGGUGUUAGCAAUGAUUUGUAUGAUUUC